UAGUAUAAAAUAAGUUUCACUAUAAUACACUUAGGGGCAAAAGAAACGAUACCAAGUAAAUUUCACAACGUGAGAAAAAACAAGACGUCAUAAGCAUAAGGUGACAAUUUAUAU